rnacentral:rRNA from 1 species
UCUGGCGACCGGCGCACGGGUGAGUAACACGUAUCCAACCUGCCGAUAACUCGGGGAUAGCCUUUCGAAAGAAAGAUUGAUACCCGAUGGUAUAAUCAGACCGCAUGGUUUGAUUAUUAAAGAAUUUCGGUUAUCGAUGGGGAUGCGUUCCAUUAGGCAGUUGGUGAGGUAACGGCUCACCAAACCUUCGAUGGAUAGGGGUUCUGAGAGGAAGGUCCCCCACAUUGGAACUGAGACACGGUCCAA